rnacentral:rRNA from 1 species
GUCGAGCGGUAACAUUUCAAAGCUUGCUUUGAAGAUGACGAGCGGCGGACGGGUGUAGUAAUGCUUGGGAAUAUGCCUUAUGGUGGGGGACAACAGUUGGAAACGACUGCUAAUACCGCAUAAUGUCUACGGACCAAAGGGGGGGAUCUUCGGACCUCUCGCCAUUUGAUUAGCCCAAGUGAGAUUAGCUAGUUGGUGAGGUAAUGGCUCACCAAGGCGACGAUCUCUAGCUGGUUUGAGAGGAUGAUCAGCCACACUGGGACUGAGACACGGCCCAGACUCCUACGGGAGGCAGCAGUGGGGAAUAUUGCACAAUGGGCGCAAGCCUGAUGCAGCCAUGCCGCGUGUGUGAAGAAGGCCUUCGGGUUGUAAAGCACUUUCAGUAAGGAGGAAAGGGAUGUAGUUAAUAGCUGCAUUCUGUGACGUUACUUACAGAAGAAGCACCGGCUAACUUCGUGCCAGCAGCCGCGGUAAUACGAGGGGUGCAAGCGUUAAUCGGAAUUACUGGGCGUAAAGCGUUCGUAGGCGGUUGAUUAAGCAAGAUGUGAAAGCCCAGGGCUCAACCUUGGAACUGCAUUUUGAACUGGUCAACUAGAGUACUGUAGAGGGUGGUGGAAU